AGCUCUCUGUUACGUUCGCUAGUCAGUUUAGUCCUCGAGCCUAUAUUUAAAUUUUGGGGGCGGCUUCGAAGUGAAGGUGUGCAUGUCCGUUCAUUCGGAAAGCCUGAUUCGCUUCAGCUGCCACCGCCUUGGACCAAUGGUUCAAGGGCUUGGCUGACAACGGCGUUGCGGAGAGCUG
rnacentral:other from 1 species